rnacentral:lncRNA from 1 species
GUUUGGUAUGUCUCGAAACGGAGGGUUCGGGGCGGUACGGCGAACCUUGUUGAGGUGCAAAAGACUUGCGAACAUAUAAUUGUGGAAGAAUCAUGUGCUUGUUUACAUUGCACAACCAUAAUUACCUGUGACAACUCUCCUGCACAAACUCAUAGUGGAUUGUAGACAAACUCAUAGUGGAUUGUAGUCUGUGGGCUUUUCAGACAAUAACCUUAAAUGCGGUGUGGAGUUGUGAAGGAAAAUAAUGUUGGCGGAGGUUAACAUUGACAGUGAUAAGGCAGGUGAAGUGGCAUGAUUCUUGUAUGCUUCUGUGACUCGUUGUUUUGUUACAUACUGGUUUUAUAGCAAUUCAGUUUUCAAUCUUGUUGCUAGGUAAAUGAAUAUGGAUUCCAAAGUCAUGAAUAUGAUGGUUGCGACAAAUGAUGUUGAAAGAUGACGACAUUAAACAAUAGUCAACUUCAGC